AUUGAACGCUGGCGGCAUGCCUUACACAUGCAAGUCGAACGGCAGCAUGAUCUAGCUUGCUCGAUUGAUGGCGAGUGGCGAACGGGUGAGUAAUACAUCGGAACGUGCCCUGUAGUGGGGGAUAACUAGUCGAAAGAUUAGCUAAUACCGCAUACGACCUGAGGGUGAAAGUGGGGGACCGCAAGGCCUCAUGCUAUAGGAGCGGCCGAUGUCUGAUUAGCUAGUUGGUGAGGUAAAGGCUCACCAAGGCGACGAUCAGUAGCUGGUCUGAGAGGACGAUAAGCCACACUGGGACUGAGACACGGCCCAGACUCCUAAGGGAGGCAGCAGUGGGGAAUUUUGGACAAUGGGCGAAAGCCUGAUCCAGCAAUGCCGCGUGUGUGAAGAAGGCCUUCGGGUUGUAAAGCACUUUUGUCCGGAAAGAAAUGGCUCUGGUUAAUACCUGGGGUCGAUGACGGUACCGGAAGAAUAAGAACCGGCUAACUACGUG
rnacentral:rRNA from 1 species